AAAUCAAGUCAAAGGCAAACACAAGGUCUCAUCCAAGACUUGUGAGGGGCAAUUAGGAGCGCUCAAAAGGAAUAGGCUAGAUAGUUCUGUAGCACUAGAUUCUUGUAUAAGGCCAGAUCAAAGGGUCCUAGAGGGAAGUAGGAUUGAGGGAGCGACAAUCACUUGUACUGUUUUGGAGCUGUACUUAAAGAAUUUGCAGUCAGCUUCACCAAAAUCCUAUUUUCUUGUCAUGGUUGCUUCAACGUCGUCAUCUAAGGUUUUUUACAAGAUUUAUCUACGUUGUUCAUGAUACGAUGCAAGCUCGUGUCAUACUCGCAAUAUACUUUCAAGAUCCGAGGGGGCUGCUUCGUAUAACGAGGGGUAUCAAAUUCUAACACUGUGGCUUGCCAAAUCCAUUCC
rnacentral:lncRNA from 1 species